UACGGAGGGUGCGAGCGUUGUCCGGAAUCACUGGGCGUAAAGGGCGCGUAGGUGGCGCGGGCAGUCAACGGUGAAAGUUCGGGGCUCAACCCUGAAUCGGCCGUCGAUACUCCCGUGCUUGAGCACUGUAGAGGCAGAUGGAAUUCCGGGUGUAGCGGUGGAAUGCGUAGAGAUCCGGAAGAACACCGGUGGCGAAGGCAGGUCUCUGGGCCGAUACUGACGCUGAGGAGCGAAAGCGUGGGGAGCGAACAGG
rnacentral:rRNA from 1 species